rnacentral:rRNA from 1 species
UACAGAGGUCCCAAGCGUUGUUCGGAUUCACUGGGCGUAAAGGGUGCGCAGGUGGUCGGGUAAGUCCGAUGUGAAAUCCCGCAGCUUAACUGCGGAAUGGCAUUGGAUACUAUUUGGCUAGAGGGUUGGAGGGGGGACUGGAAUUCUCGGUGUAGCAGUGAAAUGCGUAGAGAUGUGGAGGAACACCGAUGGCGAAGGCAGCCCCCUGGGCUAACACUGACGCUCAUGCACGAAAGCGUGGGGAGCAAACAGG